GUGAAUCAUCAAAUUUUUGAACGCAAAUUGCACUCCCUGGGAUUCCGGGGAGUAUGCGUGUGUGAGGUUCGUCAGAAUAAAAAAUCGAGGCGUCGCUCUUUUUGUUAAUGGUGAUCGCGACGGAAUUGAGCCUUCUGUGAAAUGUUAAGUCAUGUCAAAGAGUCUUAAAAUUCAUCCAUCCGGUACGAUUAGAACGUAGUUAAUAUCAAUUUUUUUCAAGAACGCGCGAGUACGUACUAUCUCAUGUAGUACGUUUGACGU
rnacentral:misc_RNA from 1 species